rnacentral:rRNA from 1 species
UAUCAAUAAGCGGAGGAAAAGAAACCAACAGGGAUUGCCUCAGUAACGGCGAGUGAAGCGGCAACAGCUCAAAUUUUAAAGCCGGUGCCUCUGGCGCCCGCGUUGUAAUUUGGAGAGGCAUUUUCGGAUAGGGUGCCAGCCUAUGUUCCUUGGAACAGGACGUCACAGAGGGUGAGAAUCCCGUGCUUGGCUGGCUGUCCCUUUUCAUGUGAAACGCCUUCGACGAGUCGAGUUGUUUGGGAAUGCAGCUCAAAAUGGGUGGUAAAUUCCAUCUAAAGCUAAAUAUUGGCGGGAGACCGAUAGCGCACAAGUAGAGUGAUCGAAAGAUGAAAAGCACUUUGAAAAUAGAGUUAAAAAGUACGUGAAAUUGUUGAAAGGGAAGCGCUUGAGACCAGACUCGGCCCCAGGUGAUCAGCCACUCUUCUGGGUGGUGCAUUUGCCUUGGGUCGGGCCAGCAUCGGUUGAGACGGCGGGACAAAGGUCUCGGGAAUGUGGCUCCUUGCGGGGAGUGUUAUAGCCUGGGAUGCAAUGCCGUCAGGCUCGACCGAGGACCGCGCCUUUGUGCUAGGAUGCUGGCGUAAUGGUCUUCAGCGACCCGUCUUGAAAACACGG